rnacentral:rRNA from 1 species
GACGAACGCUGGCGGCGUGCUUAACACAUGCAAGUCGAACGGGAUUUAGUAGACAGAAGCCUCGGCUAAAGAUUACUAAUGAGAGUGGCGAACGGGUGAGUAACGCGUGAGCAACCUGCCUAUGACAGUGGGAUAGCCUCGGGAAACCGGGAUUAAUACCGCAUAAAAUCGUAGAAACACAUGUUUUAACGGUCAAAGAUUUAUCGGUCAUAGAUGGGCUCGCGUCUGAUUAGCUAGUUGGUGAGAUAACAGCCCACCAAGGCGACGAUCAGUAGCCGGUCUGAGAGGAUGAACGGCCACAUUGGAACUGAGACACGGUCCAAACUCCUACGGGAGGCAGCAGUGGGGAAUAUUGCACAAUGGGGGAAACCCUGAUGCAGCGACGCCGCGUGAACGAAGAAGGUAUUCGUAACGUAAAGUUCUGUCAUAUGGGAAGAUAAUGACAGUACCAUAGAAGAAAGCUCCGGCUAAAUACGUG